rnacentral:sRNA from 1 species
UCCUCUUGUGAUAGACCCAUGAAGAUG